rnacentral:lncRNA from 1 species
GAUGAAGGUGGGGCACAGGGUAGCACUGCACACGAUGGCUGCUGGGGAGGAGAGCUACUGCUUUUGAUAGUGAGGUGUGAGCCUGUUAGAUCUUCCUCUUUAAAGAAUUGGCCAAACUCCAGAAUACGGACUUGAAGGGCUGGAGGAGUAAUCACCUGAGAUAAUUACCUCACUGAUUUUACCUGGAGAGCAGAUAAGCUAAGGUUCGUUAUGGAGAAGUUACACAAGGUGUCAAAGUAGAGUAUGGGAGCAUUGUGUGAGCCCUGGCACAGGUUCAAAAUAAGCCUGACCACAGGGAGAGGGCCUAGUGUCCAGAAGGGGUACCUGGAACAGGGUGUGUACAUUCUGGAGGCAGCACCAGGUGUGGGGAGUGGGAGGCUUGGGAAGGAACUAGUGUUAAAGGCACCAUGUUGGGACAGAGGCCAAUAUGCAAAUCUGCCUCUAGUCUUAACAGUGACCAGAAAUCCCUUUACAUGUGAUUAUAAUAAUCAUAUGCUAAUUAUUGUACCAUUGGUUUUUGUUGAUUGGCUCUCUCACCACCUACUGGAAGAACUCAAAGCUGUGUCUUACUAAUGUGGUUCCUGGUGUUAUCUUCAAAGAAGGUAAGUUAGAUCAGACUACAGCGUCACAGUUGGUGCAUCCACAUUGACUAAAAUCCUUGACUUCAUUGUUAACUGUGGGUGCAGAGUCAUCUUUAAUUCAUCUGAUUAACAUUUAUCCAUUCACUGAUUACUAUGUUUACUCCACCAAGACCAUUGAGCACAAUCCCAUGAGACCCGAAUCAUCUUGGCUUUUCACUUUGAAGGGAUAAAUAGCUAAGUGCACCAUGUAUACAAAUAAUAAAUUGUUUUAUGCAGCUUAAAUUUGCUUCUGUGAUUUGGGAAGUGAAAAAUACAGGAAAGAGUGCAAAAAACACAUGAAAGUUGGCAUAUACAACUCAUGUCUGUUUUAGCUAUGAUUCCAGGACUAAAAACUCUUUGCCUGAGCUACAGAAGGUCAACAGAUGGCCAAAGCAACAACCAGAGAAGCAAGUUCUGCUUGAAUUCAGCUCAUUAGAAUUCUAGGUCACCCUUCAGGCAGAAAGCAUGAACUCACAGGUCUGCGGAAACAGACAAGGGCUGAUGUGACUACCCUUCAACAUUAAGACCCCAUGGCUCCUGUUGUUGAGACUGGCAGUACAGAAGGAAAGGGCGACAGUGUACCUUCAAGCUGGAAAUUGUAUGAAUGUAUCCUGUGGUUAUAGUCCCAAGUCAGAAGGAAACAAACAUGUUCUACAAGGCUCUGGUAUUCACAGGAAAUUGCUGUCUUGGGGGACAGUUCCUCAGCUAAGGUACUCAGAUUUGACAGAGUCUACACAGUUAAACCCCAGAUGAGAGUUCAUGGUCACAGGCAUCUUUAUAAUGUAAAAUCAUCUUUUAAGAGAAUUAACAGUACUGGACAGUAACUUUGGGAUUCUUGUCCUCAAAGAAAUAAUCAAUGAAGCAAAGCUUCUUUUCUCCAAGUUCUCUAUUCAUUCAUCUCAUCUCAGGGCCCUAUCAAGUAAGGGAGAACUAAGCAGCUCUGAACUGUAGCAAUGUAAGGUAAAGGCUCCUCUUCAAGGAGAAUAGAAAAAAUGGUCAACAGGAAUACAGCAGACAUCUAUGGAGUGUGUACCAUGUUCCAAGACAUGAAGCUGUGUAGCCUGGGUAUUAUGUGGAGGGAAGACUUUACCCUGGCACGUUUUAUCAAGACAGUAGAUAAACUAGAAUGCCUUUAAAAUUACAAACUGGCAAAAUGACAGAGUGAGGGGUUGACCUAUACUUUGUAUUCUUUUCUGUUCUAGGAGAAAGCUUCCUAAUUUUAGACCAUGCUCUUAGAAUUCCCAAGUACCAUUCAUUUCUUCUGUAGCACCAAGGACAACAAUGCCCUAAUGUUGCUAAUCACCAAAACAAAUAGAAGCAAGCACUCCACGAAGCAUACUGCAUCUCUCCCUGAGUCCAGACCGCAAAGAGACUCUCAAUAUUCCAAAUCCUCAGGAAAGAUUAAACAAAGAUAUGACUUAGAAAAAAUAAAUAAAUCAGCCCCAGUUUGCUUCACAGAGAGAAGGAGGACUCAGUAGUUCACACAUCGGUGUUUUGUUUCAUGGUGGUGAAAGGACACGUCAUUCUCUGUUUAAUUAAUUAUGGACCAUUUAAAACACACUGCCAAUAAAAUGGAGUGUUGUGUACUAGUGGGAAAAGAAAUGAGAUGAAAAAAUAUGCCUGUCCCAUUAUUCAUUUGUAUUGAUCUAGAUGUACAACCCUAUGCAUCACAAUUUGACAAAAGGUUAAAUAUUAACAGAAGAGUCAUUAAUCUAACAAAACAAAUUAACACAACAAUAGCUCUCCUGGUUGGCUUUAUGUAUACCAUGGGGCUCUAGAUGGACUGAGGAACACUUCGGACUAGUGGUUAGUACCUCUCUUUACAGAUCCAGCAAUGAACUGGCCUGGACCAUGAGAGAAAUACUAAGAGGUGGUUAAUAGCAAAGGUCUUACUAUAAUGAUGGAGAGUUUUCACUCUGAGGUGUCAGCCAUGUAAACUGCAGAGGCCUCUUACAGAUGAAAACAAAUGAAACAUCUAGCACGGAGCUUGGCACAUAUAAAUUCUUUAAAACUUCUUUUUAAAGUAUUUUAGGCAAUAUAGUGUCUUUGGGGAUUGAAGAAAUAUUUAAAUAAAUUUUCAUAGUUCC